GGCGAGAUGGCCGAGCGGUCUAAGGCGCCAGACUAAGGAUCAGGGUACUCGGUGCCCAAAUCAUCUGGUCCGAAAGGGCGUGGGUUCGAAUCCCACUCUCGUCA